GGCGAGUAUUGAUCGGUGUGGAGUGUGCUCACAAUGUGGGUGUGUGCAUGAUGAUGGGAGGUGCUCAAGUCCAAGCUCAGAGGGGUUCACAGUUGCAGAUGCUACGGAUUACACUGUUGGAUAUUUAACCAGUACAGGCAGAUGACAUCUCCUUUAAAGCUUCCUGUGAAUGAUGAGGAUUGUCUCGAGCUUGAGAAAAUAGGGGACCAUGUGUGUGAUGGAAGCACCCCCAAGCCGGUUUUGAGCAGUCCAUCUAAAAAGAUGAUGGGCAGCAAUUCAGUCAGUGGGGUACGCAGACUGAGCACCAUCUCAGAGCAAGAACCAGACAAACUGGACACUGAUCCCAGUUCCCAUGAUGCCCGGGGUGGCAGUGAGUGGCGUGGAUCCAGCUUCUCAUUGUGUUCUGACAAGUUUAUAAACAGCAGCAGUCAUUUUUCCUCUGAUGAUUCAUACCAGCCUGACACUGGAGAUGACUGUGCAGCACUUCUUCUCGCCUGUCUGCACUGCCGUUUUCACGAGUUAAUGGUCCUGCUACCGGAUACAUGCGAGAGGGCUGUGAGACGCUGUUUUCCCUCGUACAAAUACAUCAAGACAUCCAGUGAGAGAGAACAGCAGGGAAAGGAUUGCUGCAAUUACAAGCUGGAACUGGACUGUAACUGCUGCGGCUCCUGUCAAGACGCGGGAGAACUCAUAGAGCUUGCAAUGGAGAUAUCAGAAGUUUGCUAUCGCUGAGAGAUUCCUCCUUGGCCUUUCACCUCUGACCUUUAAACACAAAGAGUUCACUUCAAAGAGAAUCCCAAAGAUUAUCCAUCUUUGAAUGCUCAACAAAUGGCAUGACCGUCUUGUCUUAUUCCCACAUAUGUAAAAAAUUGCCUGCAUUACUGAGAUUUUUUUCAUAUUUGGCCUUGUGGAAAUGUAUCUCCAGCUUGUGUGCCUCAACAUUAUUCAAGCAGGUAACUACUGCCACCCUUUGCCACCAGUUUAUGAUGUUUCAGCCUCCUCAUUUGUUGUUACAGCCACAGAGAGCAAAGUACUCAAAUGCCAAUGAGCAAUCCUGUCAGGGUGGAAGAGGGGAUAGAGUGCAGAGUGGGGGUGGUUAUGUACAGCAUGUUGAACCAUAGCAUCCUUUACGUUCCCAGUGUCACUCCAUAAAGCAUGAUAGAGUAGGCUGAAGACAUUUAGGAGACUGGGAAUAUAGUAACUAAUAUAAGGUGAAAUACCUUUCUAUUUUGGGCUGCAGUCACUUGUGUGAAACAUAGAGCCGUGGAAGACGUAUUCAGAUCCCAUAGUAAAGUAAAGUAGCAUAAAAGUACUCCAUUACAAGUAAAACUCCUCCCCCAUUCAAAUGUUUGGUUGAAACAGUAGUCCACUGAUUUAGCAUUGUACAUGUAUAAUGUCCACGAGGGACAAAAAUAUAUCAACACACGUCUUUUUCAUUCCACAUGUUCAUAUUCCCUCUCAAAAUCUGGCACCUUCAUUACCCACAAUGCAACUCAGCUGGCAACAGUCAGUUAGAGAUUCAGAUGUAUAAUGCUUGUAGCGGCUGAUGUAGGCUUGAGCUGCUAGACUCACGCUGAGAUGAGGAGCAGCUACAAAAAUGACUUACAUUUUCAAAGUGGUAGAAUUCAGCUCAAACCAACGUUGACAUCACUCAAGACCAAGUAUCAAAUUUCACAUAGCUCCCUCUUGAGUCUCAAAAGGCCUUAUACAACUUUUUUUUACAACUUUGAUACAUAAAGUUCCCCUUAAAAUAAAAGUAUGCCAUUGAAGUAUUAUCAGCGAAUACUUUUAAAAUUGAAAAUAGGCUAAUUUUUAUGCUGAAAAGUCACUGUCAGUAUUAUAUUAUUCUAUCAUUUAAUUAUCAUUAUUGAUACAUUAAGCAUUACUUUCAUAUUGUAUUUGGUCAAGGUGGAGCAAAUUCUAACAGCUUAAUGUACUGAUAGGUGGUUUAAUCUGUAAUAAUGCAUUACCUUGAUCAUAAUCUUUGUAUCUAACAUUAACAAUUAGAAAAGUAGCAAUUAACUUUUAAACAGUAAAAUAAAUGUAGUCCAAGAAAAUUUAAAACAUUUCCCCAUACGUAGUCAAGUAUAAAGUAGAACUCAAAUAACGUACCUCAAAGUUUGAUGUGAGUUACAGGCAGCAUUUUAGCAGUUGUCUCUGUCAAUCCCUAAAAAAGUAAACACUGAAUUAAAGCUACAGUAUAGCAUACAGUAUCAGUAUCAGCCUAUUAUCUUCAGCUAUAUGAGAACAAGUCAGAACAAUGAGAAUCAUUCAGUGCAGAAAAAAUUCUGGAUCUCAGAAGUAACAUGUACAACAAGUAACAUUUCUCUGGAGGCAUAUGUGGGGUGAAGAACUAAAUGAAACCACAAACAUUUAGGAGGAUCUAUUGGCAGGAAUGGAAUGUAAUAUUCAUAGGUGUGUUUUCAUCGGUGUAUAAUCACCUGAAAAUAAGAAUUGUGGUGUUUUCGUAAUCCUUUUUACAAAGGGAGCCGGUCCUCUUCUACCGUCCAUCUUCGACAGCCAUGUUUGUACAGUAGCCGACCACAGACAAAUCAAACACUGGCCCCAGAUUGGACCUUUUUCCUUUUUCGCGAGUUUCAUGGCUACUGUAGUUUCUCCUACAUGCUUGGAACUGGAUGUGGUUUUGGCGACAUCUUUGCAUCGCCGGAGAACUACAUAUAUUCAGUUGCCACUUUACUAUGAUGUUAGGUGUUGAGAUGUUAAAUGUGCUUGUCAUUGCAUGAUCACUGAUCAAGAGAAUGAUUUUCCUGAUAGUCAUGCAUGUGGUAGACCAUGAACACCCAAGUGUGUGUAAUUAACCUUACUGCCAACUGUGGAAAGCACAAUUACAUUUACAUUACAUUUUUCUGACCAAUUUCUAUCUUUGGCAGUUCAUGCUAAGAAAAAUGAGUGUGCUUAGACUAGAAUUAGUUGUAGAUGGUGAUUGUGUUGCAAGCAGAAACCAACUUAUGGUGCAUUUAAACCCCUGAUUGAUAAACAAUGUUUGCUAUCUUAUAUUGAAUAUGGAGCAGUAUUUUUUUUACAUGCUAGUAGGCUCAUUUGUGUGAACAAGCUUUGAUCCUUUUUAAAAAUAUGUUUGAGGAGCUCCUUUCUGGAGUUUCACACAAGCACUUGAACACAACAACAACAACAAAAAAACAGUCCCUUAUUGUAAAUUUAUUAAGAAGAUAUCAGAUACCAAAUGUUUAUUGAGAUUAUCAAUGUUACAAAUUUCAGGUUUCAUUAAACUGAUUUUCAUAGUUCUUGGAAACAAAAGCUACAUACAGCUAAUUUCAUCAGCAUAUUUCUGAGAAUUUAUGAGCAUAGAUUUUGAAGUUUGGACAAUUUCAGGUUAUUUGCUCAUUAACAAUGCAAAUAUGACUUCUUGCUAAGGCAUCUACAGUGAUUUUCACAACACCAGGUAUGUAGUAGAAGCUAGCAUCGGUAUUUGCAUAAUGGGAUUGCUAAAGGUCAACUGACAGUUGACAGUUGACUCUUCUCUAGCUACUAAAGACAGACCUGUAAAGUGUCUCUCAACAACCAAAAUCUAGACUGCCCAGCUCCCUCCAAAACCCCCAAUUCUUUCUUGGUUUCUACUAACUUCUGUCUGUUGGCUCUGCCAGGGAUGUUGUAAUGCAAUAUUUAAAGUCUGUCUCCAGUCAGAAAUGUGUUUUGUUUAUUGUUUACUUGGAUGUUUGACCUUCACAGAUGUUUCUGCAGAGUUUGACACAUUAUUCUGCUAACUCUGUAAGCUUGAAUCUGAGAGUGUUCAUACUAGCAUGAUUUUGUGACAUCACAACUACUUGUUACUACAAGCCAAUUGUGGCCCAAUAUGUAAUUUACACAAAUGUGAUGUUGAAACUUGAAACCUCGA